rnacentral:rRNA from 1 species
AUGUCAAGCCUUGGUAAGGUUCUUCGCGUUGCAUCGAAUUAAUCCGCAUGCUCCGCCGCUUGUGCGGGCCCCCGUCAAUUCCUUUGAGUUUUAGCCUUGCGGCCGUACUCCCCAGGCGGGGCACUUAAUGCGUUAGCUACGGCGCGGAAAACGUGGAAUGUCCCCCACACCUAGUGCCCAACGUUUACGGCAUGGACUACCAGGGUAUCUAAUCCUGUUCGCUCCCCAUGCUUUCGCUCCUCAGCGUCAGUUAAUGCCCAGAGACCUGCCUUCGCCAUCGGUGUUCCUCCUGACAUCUGCGCAUUUCACCGCUACACCAGGAAUUCCAGUCUCCCCUACAUCACUCUAGUCUGCCCGUACCCACCGCAGAUCCGGAGUUGAGCCCCGGACUUUCACGGCAGACGCGACAAACCGCCUACGAGCUCUUUACGCCCAAUAAUUCCGGAUAACGCUUGCGCCCUACGUAUUACCGCGGCUGCUGGCACGUAGUUAGC